CACGUAGGGGGCGGGCGUUGUCCGGAUUUAUUGGGCGUAAAGAGCUCGUAGGUGGUUCAGUAAGCCGAGUGUGAAACCUCCAGGCUCAACCUGGAGACGCCACCCGAUACUGCUGUGACUAGAGUCCAGUAGGGGAGCACGGAAUUCCUGGUGUAGCGGUGAAAUGCGCAGAUAUCAGGAGGAACACCGAUGGCGAAGGCAGCCCCCUGGGUCAAGACUGACGCUCAUGCACGAAAGCGUGGGGAGCAAACAGG
rnacentral:rRNA from 1 species